UGUAUAGACUGUGACUGUAGU
ensembl:piRNA 21ur-4136 ncRNA